GAAGAAAUGGUUUGGGAAAGAAAAGCAUACGCUCGUUGAUUCUUCAACCGCGGUAACUGCAACAGCAUCUCCUCCUCGUCCUGUUCCUGUCCUCCCUGUGGAAGAGGUCAAAUUGGAGGAAGUGGAAGAGGAGCAGACGAAACAUGCUUAUUCAGUUGCAGUUGCCACAGCUGCAGCUGCUGAAGCUGCUGUCGCAGCUGCCCACGCUGCUGCAGAGGUUGUCCGGUUGACUACAGUGAACCAAUUUUCUGGAAAAUCACAAGAGGAAGUAGCUGCAAUUAGAGUUCAGACUGCAUUUCGAGGUUAUCUGGCUAGGAGGGCAUUGAGGGCCUUACGAGGACUUGUCAGACUCAAAUCGCUUGUUGAUGGACCUACGGCCAAGAGACAAACAACAAACGCUCUAAAAUGCAUGCAGACACUAUCGCGGAUGCAAUCUCAGAUUAGUUCACGAAGGAUCAGGAUGGAGGAGAACCGAACUCUCCAGAGGCAGCUUAUGC
rnacentral:misc_RNA from 1 species